rnacentral:pre_miRNA from 1 species
UAUUAGGUUGGUGCGAAAGUAAUUGCAGUUUUUGCUAUUGAAAGUAAUUGCAAAAACCGCAAUUACUUUUGCACCAACCUAACA